rnacentral:rRNA from 1 species
GAUGAACGCUGGCGGCGUGCCUAAUACAUGCAAGUCGAGCGAACGGACGAGAAGCUUGCUUUUCUUAUGUUAGCGGCGGACGGGUGAGUAACACGUGGAUAACCUACCUAUAAGACUGGGAUAACUUCGGGAACCCGGAGCUAAUACCGGAUAAUAUUUUGAACCGCAUGGUUCAACAGUGAAAGACGGUCUUGCUGUCACUUAUAGAUGGAUCCGCGCUGCAUUAGCUAGUUGGUAAGGUAACGGCUUACCAAGGCAACGAUGCAUAGCCGACCUGAGAGGGUGAUCGGCCACACUGGAACUGAGACACGGUCCAGACUCCUACGGGAGGCAGCAGUAGGGAAUCUUCCGCAAUGGGCGAAAGCCUGACGGAGCAACGCCGCGUGAGUGAUGAAGGUCUUCGGAUCGUAAAACUCUGUUAUUAGGGAAGAACAUAUGUGUAAGUAACUGUGCACAUCUUGACGGUACCUAAUCAGAAAGCCACGGCUAACUACGUG